rnacentral:rRNA from 1 species
UACGUAGGGUGCAAGCGUUGUCCGGAAUUAUUGGGCGUAAAGAGCUCGUAGGCGGUUUGUCGCGUCUGCUGUGAAAACUGGAGGCUCAACCUUCAGCCUGCAGUGGGUACGGGCAGACUAGAGUGCGGUAGGGGAGAUUGGAAUUCCUGGUGUAGCGGUGGAAUGCGCAGAUAUCAGGAGGAACACCGAUGGCGAAGGCAGAUCUCUGGGCCGUUACUGACGCUGAGGUGCGAAAGCGUGGGGAGCAAACAGG